rnacentral:tRNA from 1 species
CAGAGGGUAGUUUAAAUAAAAUUUUAACUUUGGGAGUUAAUGAUAAAGUUAUCUUUUCCUCUGA